rnacentral:lncRNA from 1 species
AGGAAGAGGGCCUGGCGGCUGGGUGCUACGGCCCACUGCUCAGUGGAGCGUGGAGGACGAGGAGGAGGCUGUCCACGAGCAAUGCCAGCAUGAGAGAGACAGGCAGCUUCAGGCGCAGGACGAGGAGGGAGGCGGCCAUGUCCCCGAGCGGCCGAAGCAGGAGAUGCUGUGAGCAGCCCCCUAACGCGUGCCUGGGCUCUAGCCCCUA